UACGAAGGACCCGAGCGUUAUCCGGAUUUAUUGGGUUUAAAGGGUGCGUAGGUGGGUUGGUAAGUCAGUGGUGAAAUCUCCAGGCUUAACUUGGAAACUGCCAUUGAUACUAUCAAUCUUGAAUACCGUGGAGGUCAGCGGAAUAUGUCAUGUAGCGGUGAAAUGCUUAGAUAUGACAUAGAACACCAAUUGCGAAGGCAGCUGGCUACGCGGAUAUUGACACUGAUGCACGAAAGCGUGGGGAUCAAACAGG
rnacentral:rRNA from 1 species